rnacentral:rRNA from 1 species
AACUCUGAUGCAGCGAUGCCGCGUGAGUGAAGAAGGCCUUUGGGUUGUAAAGCUCUUUCGUCGGGGAAGAAAAUGACUGUACCCGAAUAAGAAGGUCCGGCUAACUUCGUGCCAGCAGCCGCGGUAAUACGAAGGGACCUAGCGUAGUUCGGAAUUACUGGGCUUAAAGAGUUCGUAGGUGGUUGAAAAAGUUGGUGGUGAAAUCCCAGAGCUUAACUCUGGAACUGCCAUCAAAACUUUUCAGCUAGAGUAUGAUAGAGGAAAGCAGAAUUUCUAGUGUAGAGGUGAAAUUCGUAGAUAUUAGAAAGAAUACCAAUUGCGGAGGCAGCUUUCUGGAUCAUUACUGACACUGAGGAACGAAAGCAUGGGUAGCGAAGAGGAUUAGAUACCCUCGUAGUCCAUGCCGUAAACGAUGUGUGUUAGACGUUGGAAAUUUAUUUUCAGUGUCGCAGCGAAAGCGAUAAACACACCGCCUGGGGAGUACGACCGCAAGGUUAAAACUCAAAUGAAUUGACGGGGACCCGCACAAGUAGUGGAGCAUGUGGUUUAAUUCGAAGAUACGCGCAGAACCUUACCAACACUUGACAUGUUCGUCGCGACUCUAAGAGAUUAGAGUUUUCGGUUCGGCCGGACGAAACACAGGUGCUGCAUGGCUGUCGUCAGCUCGUGUCGUGAGAUGUUGGGUUAAGUCCCGCAACGAGCGCAACCCUCACUUUUAGUUGCCAUCAUUAAGUUGGGCACUCUGAAAGAACUGCCAGUGAUAAGCUGGAGGAAGGUGGGGAUGACGUCAAGUCCUCAUGGCCCUUACGUGUUGGGCUAC